rnacentral:tRNA from 1 species
GUCGUGCUGGGCAUUCUGGUCGGCUGCGCCCUAUGGUGGGGCGGGCUGGUCGUUAUCGGCGUCGGGCUGCGGCGUUGGAUGCGCCAGCAUGACU